rnacentral:rRNA from 1 species
UACGUAGGGUGCGAGCGUUGUCCGGAAUUAUUGGGCGUAAAGGGCUCGUAGGCGGUUUGUCGCGUCGGGAGUGAAAACCUUGGGCUUAGCUCAGGGCUUGCUUUCGAUACGGGCAGACUAGAGGUAUGCAGGGGAGAACGGAAUUCCUGGUGUAGCGGUGAAAUGCGCAGAUAUCAGGAGGAACACCGGUGGCGAAGGCGGGUCUCUGGGCCGUAACUGACGCCGAGGAGCGAAAGCAUGGGGAGCGAACAGG